rnacentral:rRNA from 1 species
AUUGAACGCUGGCGGCAUGCCUUACACAUGCCAGUCGAACGGUAACGGGCCUUCGGGUGCCGACGAGUGGCGAACGGGUGAGUAAUACAUCGGAACGUGCCCGAUCGUGGGGGAUAACGAGGCGAAAGCUUUGCUAAUACCGCAUACGAUCUACGGAUGAAAGCAGGGGACCGCAAGGCCUUGCGCGGACGGAGCGGCCGAUGGCAGAUUAGGUAGUUGGUGGGAUAAAAGCUUGCCAAGCCGACGAUCUGUAGCUGGUCUGAGAGGAUGAUCAGCCACACUGGGACUGAGACACGGCCCAGACUCCUACGGGAGGCAGCAGUGGGGAAUUUUGGACAAUGGGCGCAAGCCUGAUCCAGCCAUGCCGCGUGCAGGAUGAAGGCCUUCGGGUUGUGAACUGCUUUUGUACGGAACGAAAAGCCUUCUUUUAAUACAGGAGGGUCAUGACGGUACCGUAAGAAUAAGCACCGGCUAACUACGUG